ACCACCCAUUUUCUCUCUUCUCUCCAUUUUCCCUCAUAAACCCUAGCACAGCCGCCGCUUUCACCACCUUCUUCAUGUUCUUUCUUCAACAAUAUUAGACGCUUCUUUCAGACCCAUCUCUCGCUUUCUCUAUCUCUCUCUCCCCGUUUUCUCUCUUCCAUUUCUUCAAUUUCAGACUCAUCUCUCGAUUUCUCACUCUCCCCUUUUUCUCUGUUCAUUCUAUAUCUUUUCCUUCCUUUUUCGAUUUCUUUUUGCAGUUGCCGCUUUGAAACUACACUUUCGAUUUCAUCUUCUUCAUCAACAUAUGUUAAUGUUUCUAUAUGUUUACCGUUUCUAUAUUUUUAAGUUUAUGUUAAUGUUUAAAGAUCUAAAAUAUUAAUUUGUGUGAAUAUUACAGAUUUAAAUCUUGGAAAAUAAGACAAAGAGAGAGCGGGUGAAGAAGAAAGAGAGUUAACAGGGGUUUGCGUGCUAUUGGGAAAGGAUGCUAGAAGUUAAAGAGUUUGACUUUGAGUGAAUGUUAUUUCCUAAGUGACAAGGGCUUGGAAGCAAUUGCUAUUGGGUGCAAGAAACUCACUCAUCUCAAAGUCAAUGGAUGCCACAAUAUUGGAACCUUGGGACUUGAAUCUGUUGGGAAAUCAUGCGAGUAUAUUUUGUGGUUCUAUGUUUGUAUCAGCUUGUGACAUCUCUCAGAGUUAGCAUUGAUUUACUGCCAAAGAACUUGUGAUCUUGGGCUUCUUCAGGUUGGAAGGGGAUGUCAAUUCUUGCAAGCUCUUCACUUGGUAGAUUGCUCAAGCAUUGGAGAUAAAGCCAUCUAUGUUCGUGUUUGAUUUUCUAUAUGAAAAUGCCAUUUUCCUUUGAUGUAUGGACCAGGUCAAACUCCUGCUGGAAUGGUCAUAAUGUCGAUACAAUAUAGGAAGGAACACUGUAUAUAGGUUUGUGUUCUUGAAAUAUAGUUUGUAACUGCAAUAUAAGAUUAGUGCUAUUUAAGUCUCUACAAUCCAGUUAGAGACUCUCUACAAUCCAGGUAGAGACAACAACUCAUCUGCUUGAUAGGACCGCAAUUUGCAGUAGCCCGACGAUGCCAUUAAAGGUUUUCUUAGUCUCAGCGGAAAUCGUGAUAGGACCGUAAUUCAAAAAACCUCUGUUUGUUAUAUGGAGUGCUCCACAAAUUCACAACAAGCAAGAAAAGAAUGUUACAAUUUCAAGAACUUCUUUUUUAGAGUAUGCUCUGUCUAAAACAAAACUAAUGAGCAUUAUCAUUAUUUGGUUGAAUUGAAAUUUAUUGGAAAUUAAUGACAUUUAUA